AAUAAUCUACACCAGGCGUUACCUUCCAGACUUGUCUGAAGAAUCUGAUCCCAUGUAUACCAAGCCCCAAGACAAACGGUUAUGUCAGGUUUAGUGUUGGAAAUCAGCUUUGGUUGCUUCAUACGUUUCAAGGCAAGUGUGUAGUUGAUAGGUUGAUCUGCUUUAGCAUCUAUAGUGCUAUCUGCAAUCAGUAAAUCUAAAAUGGUGGUAGAGAUUGGUUAGAUAUUCAAGUUUAAAUCAAUAUAAGAUUAUAG
rnacentral:lncRNA from 1 species